GUCCUACGAGUAUUUACAGUAUUUCUGGCUUCCAACCAGGAGGUCUCUGUUUGAGUCAGAGGUAGGAUA
rnacentral:tRNA from 1 species